GGGUUGUGAGGUUAAGCGACUAAGCGUACACGGUGGAUGCCCUGGCAGUCAGAGGCGAUGAAGGACGUGCUAAUCUGCGAUAAGCGUCGGUAAGGUGAUAUGAACCGUUAUAACCGGCGAUUUCCGAAUGGGGAAACCCAGUGUGUUUCGACACACUAUCAUUAACUGAAUCCAUAGGUUAAUGAGGCGAACCGGGGGAACUGAAACAUCUAAGUACCCCGAGGAAAAGAAAUCAACCGAGAUUCCCCCAGUAGCGGCGAGCGAACGGGGAGCAGCCCAGAGCCUGAAUCAGUGUGUGUGUUAGUGGAAGCGUCUGGAAAGGCGCGCGAUACAGGGUGACAGCCCCGUACACAAAAAUGCACAUGCUGUGAGCUCGAUGAGUAGGGCGGGACACGUGGUAUCCUGUCUGAAUAUGGGGGGACCAUCCUCCAAGGCUAAAUACUCCUGACUGACCGAUAGUGAACCAGUACCGUGAGGGAAAGGCGAAAAGAACCCCGGCGAGGGGAGUGAAAAAGAACCUGAAACCGUGUACGUACAAGCAGUGGGAGCACGCUUAGGCGUGUGACUGCGUACCUUUUGUAUAAUGGGUCAGCGACUUAUAUUCUGUAGCAAGGUUAACCGAAUAGGGGAGCCGAAGGGAAACCGAGUCUUAACUGGGCGUUAAGUUGCAGGGUAUAGACCCGAAACCCGGUGAUCUAGCCAUGGGCAGGUUGAAGGUUGGGUAACACUAACUGGAGGACCGAACCGACUAAUGUUGAAAAAUUAGCGGAUGACUUGUGGCUGGGGGUGAAAGGCCAAUCAAACCGGGAGAUAGCUGGUUCUCCCCGAAAGCUAUUUAGGUAGCGCCUCGUGAAUUCAUCUCCGGGGGUAGAGCACUGUUUCGGCAAGGGGGUCAUCCCGACUUACCAACCCGAUGCAAACUGCGAAUACCGGAGAAUGUUAUCACGGGAGACACACGGCGGGUGCUAACGUCCGUCGUGAAGAGGGAAACAACCCAGACCGCCAGCUAAGGUCCCAAAGUCAUGGUUAAGUGGGAAACGAUGUGGGAAGGCCCAGACAGCCAGGAUGUUGGCUUAGAAGCAGCCAUCAUUUAAAGAAAGCGUAAUAGCUCACUGGUCGAGUCGGCCUGCGCGGAAGAUGUAACGGGGCUAAACCAUGCACCGAAGCUGCGGCAGCGACGCUGAUGCGUUGUUGGGUA
rnacentral:rRNA from 1 species